rnacentral:rRNA from 1 species
GACGAACGCUGGCGGCGUGCCUAACACAUGCAAGUCGAGCGGGGAUUUAAGUGGAAGUUCUUCGGAAUGGAGAUUUAAAUUCUAGCGGCGGACGGGUGAGUAACGCGUGAACAAUCUGUCCCGGACAGGGGGAUAACACUUGGAAACAGGUGCUAAUACCGCAUAAGACCACGGCCUCGCAUGGGGCUGAGGUAAAAGGAGCAAUCCGGUUCGGGGUGAGUUCGCGUCCGAUUAGCUAGUUGGUGAGGUAACGGCCCACCAAGGCGACGAUCGGUAGCCGGCCUGAGAGGGUGAGCGGCCACAUUGGCACUGAGAGACGGUCCAAACGCCUACGGGAGGCAGCAGUGGGGAAUAUUGGGCAAUGGGCGAAAGCCUGACCCAGCAACGCCGCGUGAGGGAAGAAGGUUUUCGGAUUGUAAACCUCUGUCCUAUGGGACGAAGGAAGUGACGGUACCAUAGGAGGAAGCCCCGGCUAACUACGUG